rnacentral:rRNA from 1 species
AUUGAACGCUGGCGGCAUGCUUUACACAUGCAAGUCGAACGGCAGCGCGGUCUUCGGCCUGGCUGCUAGUGGGGAACGGGUGAGUAAUACAUCUGAACGUCCCCAGCUUUGGUUGAUAGCUCGUCGAAGUACGGAUUAAUACCGCAUACUACCAGAUGGUGCACGCGGGGGAUCUUCGGACCUCUCGCGCUUGGGGGGGCCGAUGGCCGAUUUGCUAGUUUGUUGGGUAAAGGCCUACCAAGGCGACGAUCGGUAGCUGGUCUGAGAGGACGACCAGCCACACUGGGACUGAGAAACGGCCCAGACUCCUACGGGAGGCAGCAGAGGGGAAUUUUGGACACAGGGCGGAAGCAUGAUGCAGCAAGGCCGCGUGUGUGAUGAAGGCCUUCGGGUUGUAAAACACUUGUGGCGGGAACGAAAAGGACUGUGCAAAGACCACGGUUGGAUGACGGUACAAGGAGAAUAAGCACAGGCGAAAUACGUG